rnacentral:lncRNA from 1 species
CCUAGUGGGCAUCAAGAUGGGACCACUGGGCACUAGGCCUGUGGCUGCCUUAAGCCAAGGUACCCAUCACGUCCAGGGGCCCUGACCAGAACAGUACGGUCUGUGUCCUCAGAUCCUCUGAGACUGACCUGACAUCUCCUUUUGGUAGCCUCUGCUGACUGCCCCUCAGCUGCAGAAAGGAGGAUUGGGUGAGCAGGCUGAGACCUGGGCUCCAGCUACACAUCCAGUGCAAGGACAGGACAGCCCCAGCCUUUCAGAACCUGCUGCCGCAAGGAACUGGUCCCUGCCAAGGGCAGGGUGUGGAGGGAAGUACAGCCACAGUGCCCUGGGGGUUAAACAUGCAGGACUAAGCUUUGAUCAAGACAAACGAGCCAUCAUGUGAAACGCUGGAGCAAGACAGAUGAUGGCACUGGGUGAACAAGAUCAAUAGAAG